rnacentral:rRNA from 1 species
UACAGAGGGUGCGAGCGUUAAUCGGAAUUACUGGGCGUAAAGCGUGCGUAGACGGUAAUGUAAGUCGGGUGUGAAAGCCCCGGGCUCAACCUGGGAAUUGCAUUCGAGACUGCGUGGCUAGGGUGCGGAAGAGGGAAGCGGAAUUUCCGGUGUAGCGGUGAAAUGCGUAGAUAUCGGAAGGAACACCAGUGGCGAAAGCGGCCUCCUGGUCCAGCACCGACGUCAGGCACGAAAGCGUGGGGAGCAAACAGG